UUCCCAUUUUGCAUUUUUUUUUAUUUUCUUUUCCUCAGUUUUAGUCACCGUACCAUUGUUUUCAGAAGUUCAUUUACAUUGACAGUGUACAUUUCCGGAGUGGAGUGUGCAAAAACAGCUUUAGGAUAAUCUCUGCAUUUAUAAAAAAGAUUAUCCACUUCUCUCACUGUGAUAUCUGUUGCUGAAUUAAGUUUCCGUCCAUUUUCCUAAAAUUUUGGCAAACUUCAACUGCAGUUGAUAUGAAGGGCCUCCGCUUCUUGCUUAUGUAAUUUGGAUCAACCUCUCAAAACGCCGAGCAAUGUUGAUCAUCGAGGUCCAGAUUUCCCAAGAGUGGAAGAGCAUGGAACAAUUCGGUGUUGUUAUUCCACCCCAGGCAUAUGUCGUACAUUUGCGAAUGUGAAAUUAAAGCGUUCUUUACUGUUGAUAGUUAUAAAUUUUUCUGGGGGACUGAUUGAAUACUGUUAACAUAUGUGAUAUCGACUCAUGUUCUGUUCAGUUUCUUUAAUUGAACAGGGCAACACUUUCGCUAUGCAGUUGAGAUCAUUUUUACAUCGAGCUCACAAAUUCAUCUUCCUAGCCGAGUUUCUGAAAGCACGGGAGGUGAAUUGCUGAUUCGUUGCAUCAACUACGGAGCUUCAGCCCACAUGAAGAUUAAUGGUGGAUGAGUUUUAUAUUAGUCAGCAUUUUCAGAGAGAAUUUUGAACUUCAUACGGCUCACACUCGCUGUUCGUUGCCAAUAUCUCCAGUUUUCAACAGAUUAAUCGCAAACAAACCAGCUGAGGUACUUGAAGAUUCCUCUUCGCCUAGGGGAGAUGUUUUGAUUAGUUAUUGUGAUCAAUGCAGGGCUCUACCACCCUUAUCUCCUCUGCGAGUAUGAGCAAUUUGGAGUGCAUAGAAUUAUUGGAGAGUGGAGAGAAUGAGAUGCUGCAAUAUUCUUUCCAACCUUAGAAGGACUGCUGCAUUUUAUGGCGACUAACGGCAGUGCCAACUCCAUCGAUGAUGAUGGAUGUUGAGUGCUAGCUGGAGACAUUUUCUUGGCAAAAUAUGCGGUUUUGGUAACUUAAUAGUGGACUCUGUGGAUCUAUGGAUUCCGAGAAAACAUCUUUUGGCUGAGGUUUCUGCAA